rnacentral:rRNA from 1 species
AGCGAACGUUAGCGGCGGGCUUAACACAUGCAAGUCGCACGAGAACAGGGCUUCGGCCCCUAGUAAAGUGGCGGACGGGUGCGUAACACGUGGCUAACCUGCCCUUCAAUGGGGGAUAACUGUCCGAAAGGAUAGCUAAUACCGCAUACGUCGGCGGGGUCUUCGGAUCCUGUCGGGAAAGCCGGCCUCUACAUGUAAGCUGGCGUUGACGGAGGGGGCCGCGGCCCAUCAGCUAGUUGGUGAGGUAAUGGCUCACCAAGGCUAAGACGGGUGGCUGGGCUGAGAGGAUGAUCAGCCACACUGGGACUGAGACACGGCCCAGACUCCUACGGGAGGCAGCAGUGGGGAAUAUUGGGCAAUGGGCGCAAGCCUGACCCAGCCACGCCGCGUGAGUGAUGAAGGCCUUCGGGUCGUAAAGCUCUGUGGGGAGGGACGAAAGCCCGGAAGCUAAUAUCUUCCGGUUUGACGGUACCUCCUUAGCAAGCACCGGCUAACUCCGUGCCAGCAGCCGCGGUAAUAC